rnacentral:rRNA from 1 species
UGUUUAUUAAAAACAUUUCUACUUGUAAGAAUUUGUAGUAUUGCCUGCCCAAUGUUUUAUCAAUGGCCGCAGUAUUUUGACUGUGCUAAGGUAGCAUAAUUAGUUGUCUCAUAAUUGGAGAAUUGUUUGAAAGGUUUGACUAGAUAUUAUUAUUAGAUGGGGGCUUUAGAUGAAUUUGGGGUGCCGAUGCAGAUUUUGGUAUUCUACAAUAAGACGGAAAGACCCUAAGAGCUUUAUAUUUUAUAUUUAUUUGGGGUAAAGGCAUUUUUUUUAUAUGCUUUGUGAUCCUUUUGGAUUGAAGGUUUAAGUUACCUUAGGGAUAACUAGGUGAGAGAUAAGGAGAGAUCAUAUCGAUUUAUCUGUUUGCCAUCUCGAUGUUGACUUGGGGUUAUUAUAGGGGUGUAGGUGUUUUUAUAAUAGGUCUGUUCGACCUUGUUCCCUUCAUGAUCU